AGUGGGGAAUAUUGCACAAUGGGCGCAAGCCUGAUGCAGCCAUGCCGCGUGUAUGAAGAAGGCCUUCGGGUUGUAAAGUACUUUCAGCGGGGAGGAAGGCGAUAAGGUUAAUAACCUUGUCGAUUGACGUUACCCGCAGAAGAAGCACCGGCUAACUCCGUGCCAGCAGCCGCGGUAAUACGGAGGGUGCAAGCGUUAAUCGGAAUUACUGGGCGUAAAGC
rnacentral:rRNA from 2 species